CUGAUUGGUAUUAUAUUAUUAAAAGGUCCAGAAGCCUGGGGUUGGUCUCACUUCCUGAUUGGUAUUAUAUUAUUAAAAGGUCCAGAAGCCUGGGGUUGGUCUCACUUCCUGAUUGGUAUUAUAUUAUUAAAAGGUCCAGAAGCCUGGGGUUGGUCUCACUUCCUGAUUGGUAUUAUAUUAUUAAAAGGUCCAGAAGCCUGGGGUUGGUCUCA